UCUUCCCCUCCCAAAUAUUUUAUACCAAAACUAAACCUAAUUUCCCAUCACUCCCACCCCUAGCCCGCCGCCGACGCCCAUCCCCGCCCCGCCCAUCCCCCGACGCCGACGCCCCUUCCCCACCACUGUCUGUCCUCCCUCGCCGCCCUUGCUGUCCGCCGCCACUAAAGACACAUUACAUAAAGCAAAAACCAAUUUGUUGGUACUAAAAAUCUACCAGAUAUUUCAAAUUAACAAAGGAGGGUACUUCAAGAAAGUUUCAAGCUUCAACAAGAACAAAAAGUACUGGUUUUAGACGCUCGAGAGGGGAUGGAGAAGGCGUAGGUGCUACUUCUGAAGGGGCAGUGGAUCCUAAGGAGUACCAAGAAAUGAAGCAGAAAGUUACUCAACUAACAAGUACACUUAGUGCCACGGAGGCAAGGAUGUUGCAUAUGCAGGCAGAAAUAGACAGCUUACUCAAUCUUUGCCAAAAUAUUGCUAUGUUUUCUUGGAUAUGUAUAUGAUAUUUGAUUAUAGUUUUAAUUCGAAUUAGUCUUUUACUUUUGAAGGUGAAUUUGAUUGUAGAAAGUAGUUUAUGGCUGUUUAACUUUACGAUGUUUAAGUGUUUGAAUGUAGAAAGUAAUUUAUGGUUGUUUAACUUUACGAUAUUUAAGUGUUUGAAUGUAGUUUUAAGGAUAUUUAGAAGUACCUUGAAUUUGAUAGUGAAUGUGUUGUAAUGUCGCAUUGUUGAUGAA